UACGUAGGGGGCAAGCGUUGUCCGGAUUUAUUGGGCUUAAAGCGCGUGUAGGCGGCCAGAUAGGUCUGCUGUGAAAACUCGAGGCUCAACCUCGAGCUGUCGGCGGAAACCAUCUGGCUAGAGUCCGGAAGAGGAGAGUGGAAUUCCUGGUGUAGCGGUGAAAUGCGCAGAUAUCAGGAAGAACACCUAUGGCGAAGGCAGCUCUCUGGGACGGUACUGACGCUGAGACGCGAAAGCGUGGGGAGCGAACAGG
rnacentral:rRNA from 1 species